AUCCAGCUGUCGAGUCUCAAAUUGGACGAAACAUGCGUCAUACUGGAU
rnacentral:hammerhead_ribozyme from 1 species